rnacentral:rRNA from 1 species
UACGUAGGGGGCCAGCGUUGUCCGGAAUCAUUGGGCGUAAAGAGCGCGCAGGCGGCUUGGCAAGUCGGGUGUGAAAUCCCGGGGCUCAACCCCGUGACUGCAUCCGAUACUGUCAGGCUAGAGGUAGGUAGGGGAGAUCGGAAUUCCUGGUGUAGCGGUGAAAUGCGCAGAUAUCAGGAGGAACACCGGUGGCGAAGGCGGAUCUCUGGGCCUUACCUGACGCUCAGGCGCGAAAGCUAGGGGAGCGAACAGG